rnacentral:tRNA from 1 species
GACAGAAUGGUGUAGUGGUUAUCACGUCUGUCUCACACGCGGCAUUUCUCCAGUUCGAGCCUGGGUACUGCCA